rnacentral:rRNA from 1 species
UUUAAAUGGCCGCAGUAUUCUAACUGUGCAAAGGUAGCAUAAUCAUUAGUCUUUUAAUUGAAGGCUGGUAUGAAUGGUUGGACGAAAUAUUAACUGUUUCAUAAAAAUUUUUAUUAGAAUUUUAUUUUUUAGUCAAAAAGCUAAAAUAAUUUUAAAAGACGAGAAGACCCUAUGAAUCUUUAUAUUUAGUUUAUUUUAAUUUUAUAGAUUAUUUUUGUUAUAAUAAAUUUACAUAUUUUGUUGGGGUGAUAUUAAAAUUUAAUAAACUUUUAAUUUUAAAAAUCAUUAAUUUAUGAAAAAUUGAUCCGUUAUUAACGAUUAAAAAAUUAAGUUACUCUAGGGAUAACAGCGUAAUUUUUUUGGAGAGUUCUUAUCGAUAAAAAAGUUUGCGACCUCGAUGUUGGAUUAAGAUAUAAUUUUAGGUGUAGUUGCUUAAAUUUUAAGUCUGUUCGAC